UCUAUGCUCGCUAUCCCAAGGUUCAUUGCGAUCCCAAGGUUCACUGCGGUUUUCCACAAGCCUGUUUCUGCCUAUCACCAUGAGUGAUUCCUCAAUACUCAGAUUUAUCAUCAAGAUCUCAAUUAUAAGCUCAAGUUUUGAUGACAACUUGGUGAUCUGCAGAAAGCCCCACCAUGUAAGGAAGGCCAAGACCACUCUGGAAUCAGUCAAGGCUCAUAGGAACUCCAAUCUUCCCAACUGUGAGAGGGCCUUGCUCCAGUGACUGAUUGCAGUGACCAGACAUGCUACUGUAACUCUCAUGGUCAUGUGCUGGAAUUAGCAGAUAUUCAACAAUUUGGCCAUCUCGCUGACCUGUUGAUAUCAGAAGACCGCAACAGCUCUACAAAGCAAGUUGCAAAACAGAAUCCAUGAAACUGGCAGUGACUGGAAACCAAUUGGAAGACUUUGGUCUGUGAUGUAGAGGAGUGGGCAGAGGGUGAGGAAAUUCUUAUUAAUAUUACAUGUAGUCAUGAAAAAUUGUGUUACUAUUACUGUCAUUUUUUUUUCAGUAGCAGAAGCAAAGACAACAAAAAACAGAAGUGAUAUGGAUGUCUUUGUCAUAUUGCAUGACUCUGCUGACCCAGCAACAAAGAGGAGGGUGUUCAACAUCAUCCUGCUGGUCAGGAUUCUUCAGGAGAAGCAGU
rnacentral:lncRNA from 1 species